rnacentral:rRNA from 1 species
UGCAGUCGAACGAAGUAGCAAUACUUAGUGGCAGACGGGUGAGUAACAUGUAGGUAUCUUCCCUUUGGUGAGGAAUAACACGAGGAAACUUGUGCUAAUACCUCAUAAGUCUUUACGGAGAAAGCUUUAUGCGCCGAAGGAUGAGCCUGCACUUGAUUAGUUUGUUGGUGGGGUAAUGGCCUACCAAGACUUUGAUCUAUAGCUGAUCUGAGAGGAUGAUCAGCCACAUUGGGACUGAGACACGGCCCAAACUCCUACGGGAGGCAGCAGUAGGGAAUAUUGCACAAUGGAGGAAACUCUGAUGCAGCGAUGCCGCGUGAGUGAAGAAGGCCUUUGGGUUGUAAAGCUCUUUCGUCGGGGAAGAAAAUGACUGUACCCGAAUAAGAAGGUCCGGCUAACUUCGUGCCAGCAGCCGCGGUAAUACGAAGGGACCUAGCGUAGUUCGGAUUUACUGGGCUUAAAGAGUUCGUAGGUGGUUAAAAAAGUUGGUGGUGAAAUCCCAGAGCUUAACUCUGGAACUGCCAUCAAAACUUUUUAGCUAGAGUAUGAUAGAGGAAAGCAGAAUUUCUAGUGUAGAGGUGAAAUUCGUAGAUAUUAGAAAGAAUACCAAUUGCGAAGGCAGCUUUCUGGAUCAUUACUGACGCUGAGGAACGAAAGCAUGGGUAGCGAAGAGGAUUAGAUACCCUCGUAGUCCAUGCCGUAAACGAUGUGUGUUAGACGUUGGAAAUUUAUUUUCAGUGUCGCAGCGAAAGCA